rnacentral:rRNA from 1 species
UACAGAGAUGGCAAGCGUUGUUCGGAAUUAUUGGGCGUAAAGAGCGUGUAGGCGGCCAGGUAGGUCGGUUGUGAAAACUCGAGGCUCAACCUCGAGAUGUCGACCGAACCAUCUGGCUAGAGUCCGGAAGAGGAGAAUGGAAUUCCCGGUGGUAGCGGUGAAAUGCGCAGAUAUCGGGAAGAACACCCGUGGCGAAGGCGGUUCUCUGGGACGGUACUGACGCUGAGACGCGAAAGCGUGGGGAGCGAACAGG